AUUGAACGCUGGCGGCAUGCCUUACACAUGCAAGUCGAACGGCAGCACGGGAGCAAUUCUGGUGGCGAGUGGCGAACGGGUGAGUAAUAUAUCGGAACGUGCCCGGUCGUGGGGGAUACCGUAGCGAAAGCUACGCUAAGACCGCAUACGAUCUAUGGAUGAAAGCGGGGGAUCGCAAGACCUCGCGCGAUUGGAGCGGCCGAUAGCAUAUUAGGUAGUUGGUGAGGUAAAGGCUCACCAAGCCGACGAUCUGUAGCUGGUCUGAGAGGACGGCCAGCCACACUGGGACUGGGACACGGCCCAGAAGCCGACGGGAGGCGGCAGUGGGGAAUUUUGCACAAUGGGCGCAAGCCUGAUCCAGCAAUGCCGCGUGCAGGAUGAAGGCCUUCGGGUUGUAAACUGCUUUUGUACGGAACGGAACGGCGAGCUCUAAUACAGUUUGCUAAUGACGGUACCGUAAGAAUAAGCACCGGCUAACUACGUGCCAGCCGCCGCGGAAA
rnacentral:rRNA from 1 species